rnacentral:lncRNA from 1 species
GCCCCCCUCCUGCCCAUGUGCCCCAUGAUAUACCACUUGACACACCACGUUCCCAUGGAUACCAAAAGCAAUUGAGCCUACUGACCACAGACCGAAACCUCCAAAACUAUAAGCCCAAUGAUGCAAGCAGACUGCCCUCACCAGAUGCUGAGCAGUGGCUGGGACGGUGCUCUUGGACAUCCCAGGUGGUAGAAUUGGCAGCCACAUGAACUGCGGGGUGAGUGAUACCCUACCAAAAGAGAUCACAAGAAAAGAAGACUACAGGCA